CAGAGGUCUCAAGCGUUGUUCGGAUUCAUUGGGCGUAAAGGGUGCGUAGGUGGCAGGGCAAGUCAGGUGUGAAAUCUCGGGGCUCAACCUCGAAACUGCACUUGAUACUGCCUUGCUCGAGUACUGGAGAGGAGACCGGAAUUUACGGUGUAGCAGUGAAAUGCGUAGAUAUCGUAAGGAAGACCAGUGGCGAAGGCGAGUCUCAGGACAGUUACUGACACUGAGGCACGAAGGCCAGGGGAGCAAACGGGAUUAGAUACCCCGGUAGUCCUGGCAGUAAACGGUGCGCGUUUGGUGUGGGAGGAUUCGACCCCUUCCGUGCCGGAGCUAACGCGUUAAACGCGCCGCCUGGGGAGUACGGUCGCAAGAUUA
rnacentral:rRNA from 1 species